UGCCGAGGAAAUCCUCGGUAGUUAACUGCCGCCGGUUUACUAAAAACUUCGGCAGUUAACUGCUGAAGGGCAU
rfam:Medicago truncatula strain A17 chromosome 5, whole genome shotgun sequence.